rnacentral:rRNA from 1 species
GAUGAACGCUGGCGGCGUGCUUAACACAUGCAAGUCGAACGGAAAGGCCACAGCUUGCUGUGGUACUCGAGUGGCGAACGGGUGAGUAACACGUGGGUGAUCUGCCCUGUACUUCGGGAUAAGCUUGGGAAACUGGGUCUAAUACCGGAUAGGAAUCACAUGUGGGUGUGUGGUUGGAAAGCUUUUGCGGUAUGGGAUGAGCUCGCGGCCUAUCAGCUUGUUGGUGGGGUAAUGGCCUACCAAGGCGUCGACGGGUAGCCGGCCUGAGAGGGUGUACGGCCACAUUGGGACUGAGAUACGGCCCAGACUCCUACGGGAGGCAGCAGUGGGGAAUAUUGCACAAUGGGCGCAAGCCUGAUGCAGCGACGCCGCAUGGGGGAUGACGGCCUUCGGGUUGUAAACUCCUUUCGUCAGGGACGAAGCGAAAGUGACGGUACCUGGAUAAGAAGCACCGGCUAACUACGUG